rnacentral:rRNA from 1 species
UACCUACGGGGGGCAGCAGUGGGGAAUAUUGCACAAUGGGGGAAACCCUGAUGCAGCAACGCCGCGUGAGUGAAGAAGGUUUUCGGAUUGUAAAGCUCUGUUAGCAGGGAAGAGGAAGGACGGUACCUGCAGAGGAAGCCACGGCUAACUACGUGCCAGCAGCCGCGGUAAUACGGAGGAUGCGAGCGUUAUCCGGAUUUAUUGGGUUUAAAGGGUGCGUAGGCGGGCUGUUAAGUCAGCGGUAAAAGCCCGGGGCUCAACCCCGGCGAGCCGUUGAAACUGGCUGUCUUGAGAUGUCGAGAGGG